CAGGGCUCAUUCCCAUGUUGCCUCCUCCAUCACUUUCAGGAGCCAUUCAAGUGGCAGCCACCCCCACUCCCUGCACCCCAAAAGGCCUCUCCCUCCCCCCUCUGAAGCCAUGAUGUCACCUAUUCGACAAAUAGCCCAGGUGAACUUCGUGGUGACAAGAUGACCCGCAGCUGCACGUGACCUGCCGAAGCCAUGAUCAAGCGGCCCAAGCCCAGCCAGAGACACGGGACCAGCCUUUAAGGCCAUUGUCUAGCGAUGGACUCAACAGGCCAGCUCUGAGUGCAAGGCUGAUUGGUAACCCUUCUGUCCAGGGUGGCCCCCAUACUCUCCUUCCACAAGGCCACGAGCACAUAGUUGAAAAGCCGCAAGAGCACAAGAUUUAAGGGGGAAAUAAAACUCUUAGAUUUCACAGCUCCACAACAUAAUCCUCACAUAUACAAUGGAGGUGGCGGGACGCUGGGGGAGGAAUGGGUACUGUUUUGGGCUUCUAUGACAGGUGACACAGUCCUGGGUGUCCCAGCCCUGCACUGUGCUUACACCUGAAUCUCAACAAAUGCUGGCUGCCUGGAGUAGGAGGCAGAACCACAAACAGAGAAGGUUGCCUGCACUUACAUCCUUAUUUCUAUACAUUCUGCCUCCAAGACCCUGGUCAAUGGGACAUGAGACAGGCCCUAAAGUUGAGUGGCUGCUGCUGCUGCUGCGAACAAGACUUCAAAGGCAGAGGCCCUUCAGCAAAGAGCAGAUACUCCAAACAGAGGCUGGUGGCCCGAUCCAGACGGGGAACAGGCCUCUGCCCCACAGCCUGCUGAGGGCUGCAGCCAGUUGUGUCUGAA